AUGGCCUCAAACAUCGAUGCAAGGAGGUUCAGAGAGAUUUGUGUGAUCACAUGGUACAUAAUACAAAUGUCCCUACCAGAAAGAAGAUCAUGUCUACCACUUCUAGGAAAAAAUAAUUUGGUUACCAUGUGAUGUAACAGCCUCAUCUCAAUAGAAAGAAUCUUUGCCUCUAAUUUAUUCAGACUACCAGUAAAAGUUCUCCCUAAGAUAACAUUAAUACCUUCUUCUUUGAUAGG
rnacentral:lncRNA from 1 species